rnacentral:ncRNA from 1 species
GUCCGGUGCGAAUCCGGCGCUGUGCCGCAACUGUGAUGCCCUCGCGGCGCCCCUCCGGGCGCGGUCGGAAGGGCGAGUCAGG